AUGCCACCACAUCAGCUGUUAGCUUGCUAUGGUUUUAGUCCCUUAAUCACCAACAGCUUCAGGAUCCCACUGGGCAAUCAAACACGAGGUGAGACAGCUGAGAAAGGGGACACUCCGUCUAGCUUGCAGGAACCAGAGUACGCAUUCAUGGGCAAGAAGAGUCCAUCAAGAGCAGGUCUAGUAAACUUUAAUAACCAAAUUUAAGAGAUGACUGCGUGGAGGCUGCUCCCGAGGGUCAGUAUCGAUCUUCGCUAAUGCAGUGAGAUCUUCAUAAGCCAAAGAAAAGAAAUUUAAUGGACAUGAAACUCCUCCUAAAGUCAAAAUCUUAAACUUGAAUGGGCAUAUUUUUAGGGUAAGACUCUUUCCUAUAAUAUAGAUACAUUAUAAUUUCAUUCCCAACUGUUCAUUAUAGGGACAUCUGGGUUCGUAUUAAUCUGCCAGGACUCUCACAACAAAAUACCACAGACUGAGUG
rnacentral:lncRNA from 1 species